ensembl:lncRNA
CACUCAUUUAAUUUAACAAUCCUUUUUAUACCUAUUGCCCGGUAUUGUUUGAGGUCCUUAACAAAAUAGUACUAGAGGCAACAUAAAGUAAUUAGAAAGUAAUCUUUAACAGAUAAGCUACCCAUACAUAGCAAUAAAAGCUAGGGAAAAAAAAUCAAUGAAAGUAUCUAUUCAAUCAUACUGUUUCCUGGUCUAGAAGAACAGGUUAGGUGAAUUUCUGUUUUCCUCUGGUUGUUGUGGUAACAUACUAUAUAUUGUAACAAUUUUAAGUAAUUAUAGAUGCACCAAAAUUUAUCUAUGGCUUUGUCACCAUGUUAUACAAUACCUCAUUUAAAAUGAAACUGGUGUCUAUAUUUAAUGUACCAGUAUCAAGAUAGUAGUAUAUUAUUGAGAUGAGAUUUCUAUAGCGUUUUUAGGUAACAACUAGAAUUUUGGAAUGCCAUGCACCCUGACUAUCGAACCUUAAUUGCUAUUGAAUCAACUGCCUAUAUUUUACAGAGGCCAAGAUGGGGUAAGUUCCUUUGACACCAUGCACACAAGACAGUGGUUCUUGUGUAGUGGCUCUAAAACCAGAAUGGAAGGAAGGGCUAAAGUCUCACUCCAGUGCUCGUUAGGUAAGAGCACUCUGAUAAGCUGUACAACCUCUACAUUUAGUUUCCUCAUCAACAAAUAACAAGCAUCUACCUUAAAGGCUGAUUGUAGAGCGAGAAUGAGAUCAUCUGUGCAAUUAUCCCCCACCUUGGCAUGGCUGGUCUCCACCUGAGUGCUGCGCUCCCCCUCAGGUACUCAGGUAGCAGGAAUGCCACAGGUAAGCCCCAGGUAUGUUCUCUACUGCCCCAUGCUUGCUCCAGACUCAUCCUCAGGCCCAGUGAGCUCACCUUGCCCAGACAAUAAUGUCUUUCUUUAAUAUUGAUGAAUAUGUUCCACAGAAAAUUCUUGUCCCCUAAUUUAAAAGAAAAAGUAUUUGUCUCCUUCAGUAACAGUGCACACACAGUUGGCACAAUUUCACAAAAAUACCACAUACUGAGUUUUUUCUAUACUUAUUCAACAAAUGCGUAUUGACUACCUACCAUGUGACCAGUUUUAUUUGUUGUAGGAAGUAGAUAUGUGUCAGUGAACAAAGCCAGCAAAACAUCCUGCUGUCUGUAAAAGGGAUGCACAGAAAAAAAGAGGAAAGCAAAGGAAUAAACUACAAGCAAUUACACUCUACCAGGUACAGCAUUCACACCCCAAGCCUGACACUAGACUCUGCUGCUCCCUCUGGAAAUUGAUGUGGGCUUCAGUGCUGCUGCUGCCACAGCCAAAAUUGAGUCCCUGCAGUCUUGGCUUGUCCUGUGUCAUGCCAAGAGUCAACAGCAUCUGAAUGGUUGCACCUAGAUCACGUCUGAGCCCUAGCUGCAAGGGAGGCUGGGAAAGUGAGCAUCUGACGCCUAUGGAAUUGUUGGUCUCUGCCUCCUGUCAGUACUCAGGAGGUAGAGAAAUCCACAGCCAAGAGAUCACUUUAGAUGCUGGGUGAUGUCAAGGGUAACAGAAGGUGCAAAAAGGAUGACAAGUCCCCACUAGAACUUUCUUUCAAUACUCCUAAGCCCUAAUUAAGAGCUCCACUCAACAUGUAUCUAGGACAUGGCUGGAAAAAGCCUUGUGCUCAACUUUGAGAAGAAUUAAAUUAAAGGAAUGAUUACUAAGGGUGGGCAAGGUCUAGAGAACCACAAGAGACAGUGCAGCACUCCAGAACUGGCAACAGUAGGGAGCUUUCAACAUCCUGGGCCUGAAGAGGCAAGGGGAGGAAGCAUUUCCCAGAGCCAGAGGCAGGACUGCCUAACUGUGUGGAGAGAAUCAUUUAAAAUAAACGACCCAGCCCUGGGCACCUCCUCACCAAGAGGACAAGAGGAGCAAAUGCCACUCCUUCCUUUCCUGUGGUUCCCUGUUGAAGCUCCCCACCAGCCUGGCCAGAGACCAGAGGGCCAGGGAGCACAUGCAGGUAUGAGCUGCAGAAGAAGACUGGAGAGCAAAUGUGGAGAAAUAAACAGAAGAGGUUCUGCACUUACGGCUUCAUCGAUAUGUCACUGGCAUUUUUUCUUUUUUAAAUUCAGUAUCUCCUUUGGGGAUGUCCCUUUACAUUUUCAGUAGCUCAGCCCACAAGAUCAAUGGACUUAAAAUGUUCUUCUCAUCCUGAAUUUAACGAGAUGCUAUUUCCCCCUUGUUUGCUAUUUAGAAUGUUCUAUUGUAUGGUUCAACAAUCUGCACCAUUAAAGGUUAGCAAAUCCCAACCAGGACAUUUUUUUUCCCUUUCUGGGCUUGGGGAAAAAGGAGAAGAGGUGUGACCUGCACAGACAGCAUCAAAAAUCUCCUUUUCUGAAUCUUCCUGCAGAAAUCCUCUCUAUGUAUUGUCUCAGCACAGGAGAUUUCCUGUUGUUCAUCCCUGCCUCCUCCUCAUUAAUAUCCAGCCUUUUAAAUAAAGCAUGUACAAGAAUAGUCAAUAAAAUAAACCCCACAUGAUUACCAACAGUUGCAGGCCCAUGAGUUCCCCAAGGAUUCACCCACUGUAACCCCUCAUCCUUUGAAAGUACAUGAUAACUUGUGUUAGAGUAAUCAGUUAUUGGGCCAGGGAUUUAGCUCAGUGGUUCCAGUGCCUGCCUCCCAAGCACAAGCUCCUGAGUUUGAUCCCUGGUACCAAAAAAAAAAAGUCACCAGUUAUUUAGUUUGGGAAAGAAUACCAAGGGGAAACCUUCAUCAUCAUCUUCAAGUAUAUGAUGUGUUCCUUCCCAGAGUAUGGAAAGCAAGUGUUUUCCCUGUCCUCAAUCAAGGGAGUGAGUACAGCACGAGGAAUAAAAUAGAAAUAAAAUAAUAAAAUGGUUGCACUUUGAAACUACAAUGUUAAGUGAAAUAAAUCAGACACACAAACUUGAAUAUUGCAUAGUUUCUUUUAUGUGAGAAAUUCAAAAUUUAAAUAAAGAACAAAAUAACAGAUAAUAGGAAGAUAGAUCAUUCUCAAAUGGGAAGGGGAUUAAGAGAGAAGGAGAAGGAGGGGAGGAUGCUGAAAAAAUUAAGAUGUUUUAUGUAUGUGUACCAACUCCACACAAAAAUGUAAACAUUAUGUAUUACAAACAUACUAAUAAAAACUGAUGAAGAAAACAAGCCUACAGCUGGGCAAAAUCAUUAACCACAAAGCCUAUUUUGCAAUAAAAUGUUGAAUAUUUGCCAAAAAAUAACAUUAAUAAAAGUCUUACUUUAAAAUGCAAAUGAAACCAAAUGUGGCAGCACACACCUGUAGUCCCAGCCCUCUGAGCAACUGCAGCAGGAGGAUCACAAGUUUGAGUCCUGCCUGGGCAACUUAACAAGAGCCUGUCUCAAAACACAAAAUAAAAAAAGCUGAAGAUGUAGAAUAGUGCAAAGGCCCUAGGUUCAAACCCUAGUACUACCACUAAAAAAAAUUGCAAAUGACAGAGAAAUACACACAGCAAAGUUGACUUCUAUGCUCUGGAAGUUUGAGCUAAUUAUUUCUAAA